GAAGGAUCAUUGCACACACA
rnacentral:rRNA from 1 species